rnacentral:misc_RNA from 1 species
AUUUAAUAAAGAUAAUAAAUUGAUAGGCGUAAAAAAGCUGUAGAUAAGGUAUAGUAAAGUAUGGUAGGAUUAUGGGAUCAUAGUAAACUAAUCUAUGUAGAAAUAAGUAAAUAAAUUUGGUACUUACUCUAAGAGAUUAGCUGACCAAUAUUAUGAUGAACCAUAGAGCUAGGUGUAAAUAAACAUCUGCGAAUUCGUCCUAAAAAGUAAUAAAAAGAAUUAAGUUAACCGUGGUAUAUGGUAGAUAGUUCAUAUCGCUGCAUAAUACGAAUACACAGGAAGACACAACGGAAAUAUUUAUGAUUGACCAACAAUGGCAUAUAGCAUCCGAUUUUGAUUUGAAAAGUUUUAUUACGAGUAUAAUAGUAUAUAUAAAUAUUGGCUCACCUUGCCAUGGUGGUAAUACCAGGCAGAUAUUUAUUAAUAGGACUGCAGGGCCUGUCCUUAAAGUAAAUUAAAUUAAAUUAAAUUGAAAUCAACUAAUUAAAUAAAUAAUAUUGGAUGAUUUUAACUAAUGAUUGCACAACAGCCUAUGGUACGUACCGGUUUGAGUGGAGGUAAC